rnacentral:rRNA from 1 species
UACGGAGGGGGCUAGCGUUAUUCGGAAUUAUUGGGCGUAAAGGGCGCGUAGGCGGCUCGGUAAGUCAAAGGUGAAAUCCCUCGGCUCAACUGAGGAACUGCCUUUGAAACUGUCGGGCUUGAGGCCGGGAGGGGGUAGCGGAAUUCCCGGUGUAGCGGUGAAAUGCGUAGAUAUCAGGAGGAACACCGGUGGCGAAGGCGGAUCUCUGGGCCUGCCCUGACGCUCAGGCGCGAAAGCUAGGGGAGCAAACAGG